AUGAAUAGGACUUUGAAAUAGAAAGGGGCAGAGAGAGAGGUGUUAGGAAGGGUAUACCAGGAAGAGGAAGUUGGUAAAAGAAAAAGGAGAAAGAGAGACAGACAGACAGGCAUGAAGGGAGGGGAAGAGGAAAAAAAAGAAAUAUAUAAAAUAGAGACAGAAUCUCGUUGAAGUUGUAAGAAUGGACGACUAGAGGGUCGAGGGUAAGGCUGAAAAGAAAGUAUGAAGUUCGACUAACUGUAAAAAUAAAGUGAAGUAAUAGUGAUGAUGAUGACGAUGACAGAAAAGACAAACACGAAUGGGCAGUGCCAGGAGAACUCCUUUGGAAAGGAAGGGAGGGAGAGGAAGGGAAAGGGGAAGUGGUGGAAGAGGAAGAAGAGGAAGAAGAGGAAGGAGCAGCGAAACGAAGGAAGAGGUCGUGGCGCGGCCGAGCAGCGGCGACGCCUCAGCGGCAGCGGGUCAGCGGCUGGAGGGAGGGCGGGGGCGGGGGCGGGGGCGGCGGCGCGAGCAGUGGCGGUGCAGCAGAGUGAGCGGAAACACCGUCGGGUCCGGGAGUGCCGCGAGACAGACCGCCUUUACCUGGACGCCCCACCUCGAGUGUUGCUCCACCUCUCACCUGCCGAGACGCCGCCGGGACCCCGCACGAAAGACAUAGCCGUGUUCCUCCGAGUUUUGUCUCCGCGGACGAGACCAAGAAGGACGUUGUGUUCGACGGCUCGUCAUGACGCGAUGCCCGCGCGGUGCCCCAAGAGCCGAGGAAUAGGCCACGAUGAUAGAGCAGGGCAGCGCAGGCACCGGUAACGGGCGCCCCACACAGGGGGGGUCCUGUGAUCUCCUCAGCCACUCUCCGCCGCCCUCCGCCUACUGAGCUCUCCUGCGCCCUCGCUCACGCCCCUCCCGUCCCAUGUGCUGUGAACAUUUCCCUCUUGAAAACAAGUUCCUCGAGAAAAUCCGCUGUGAGUGCGAGGAGAAAAUCGAGUAGUGGUUUGGUCGUGUGGAAGCGCCACUGGCUCCGGCUGAGAUCAUUUAUUGGAGGAGCGAGUGACCAAACAAGCGUUGAAGGGAUGAGGAUGCCGAAGGUGGCUCUCAAGCCCCUCAAGCCAUGCCUCGCCUCUCCUUCAAGACCAUCUUGGGAAUCUUCUGCGCCGGGAACCGUGAAACAGUAUGAGGCCCCGAGUCUGUUCUGUUGGAGGUAAUUAUCACCUGUUCAAGUUCAGGCAGGUAAGUCGGGUGUGGGCGGCGGUGGCAGGCGCGAGGGCGGCACUCUCCGGACUGCUCUGCGCCCCGGCGACGCAGGCGGGGGGACGCCCUCAUGCACGCGCACGCACGCCCACGCACACACACGCCCACGCUCAAACCUAAACACAGUAAUUUACACACACGCGCGCGCA
rnacentral:misc_RNA from 1 species